ACCGGAGCUUGCUCUGGUGGGAUUAGUGGCGAACGGGUGAGUAACACGUGAGCAAUCUGCCCCCGACUCUGGGAUAACCCCGAGGAAUCGGAGCUAAUACCGGAUACGACACCUCCUGGCAUCAGGUGGGUGUGGAAAGAAUUUCGGUUGGGGAUGAGCUCGCGGCCUAUCAGCUUGUUGGUGAGGUAAUGGCUCACCAAGGCGACGACGGGUAGCCGGCCUGAGAGGGUGACCGGCCACACUGGGACUGAGACACGGCCCAGACUCCUACGGGAGGCAGCAGUGGGGAAUAUUGCACAAUGGGCGCAAGCCUGACGCAGCAACGCCGCGUGGGGGACGAAGGCCUUCGGGUUGUAAACCUCUUUUGGCAGGGAAGAAGCGAAAGUGACGGUACCUGCAGAAAAAGCACCGGCUAACUACGUGCCAGCAGCCGCGGUAAUACGUAGGGUGCAAGCGUUGUCCGGAAUUAUUGGGCGUAAAGAGCUCAUAGGCGGUGUGUCACGUCUGCUGUGAAAAUCCAAGGCUCAACCUUGGACUUGCAGUGGGUACGGGCACACUCGAGUGCGGUAGGGGAGAUUGGAAUUCCUGGUGUAGCGGUGGAAUGCGCAGAUAUCAGGAGGAACACCGAUGGCGAAGGCAGAUCUCUGGGCCGUAACUGACGCUGAGGAGCGAAAGCGUGGGGAGCGAACAGGAUUAGAUACCCUGGUAGUCCACGCCGUAAACGGUGGGAACUAGAUGUGGGGUCCGUUCCACGGAUUCCGUGUCGCAGCUAACGCAUUAAGUUCCCCGCCUGGGGAGUACGGCCGCAAGGCUAAAACUCAAAGGAAUUGACGGGGGCCCGCACAAGCGGCGGAGCAUGCGGAUUAAUUCGAUGCAACGCGAAGAACCUUACCAAGGCUUGACAUAUAGAGGAAAAGUGCAGAGAUGCACUCCCCGCAAGGUCUCUAUACAGGUGGUGCAUGGUUGUCGUCAGCUCGUGUCGUGAGAUGUUGGGUUAAGUCCCGCAACGAGCGCAACCCUCGUCCUAUGUUGCCAGCACGUAAAGGUGGGAACUCAUGGGAGACUGCCGGGGUCACUUCGGAGGAAAGGGGGGGGAUGACGUCAAAUCAUCAUGCCCCU
rnacentral:rRNA from 1 species